UACAGAGGGUGCGAGCGUUAAUCGGAGUUACUGGGCGUAAAGGGCGCGUAGGCGGUUAUAUGAGUGCGAUGUGAAAGCCCCGGGCUUAACCUGGGAAGUGCAUCGCAAACGAUAUGACUGGAGUAUAUGAGAGGGUGGCGGAAUUUCCGGUGUAGCGGUGAAAUGCGUAGAGAUGUGGAGGAACACCGAUGGCGAAGGCAGCCCGCUGGGCUAACACUGACGCUCAGGCACGAAAGCGUGGGGAGCAAACAGG
rnacentral:rRNA from 1 species